rnacentral:rRNA from 1 species
AGCAGCCGCGGUAAUUCCAGCUCCAAUAGCGUAUAUUAAAGUUGUUGCAGUUAAAAAGCUCGUAGUUGAAUUUCGGAAUCUGUCCGUUGGUCGGGCUUCAUUGUCCGUACUGAUGUGAUGGGUUCUUACCUUCUGAAUAACCAGCAUGUCAUUAAUUUGGUGCGUUGGGGAAGCAGGACUAUUACCUUGAAAAAAUUAGAGUGCUCAAAGCAGGCUAGUGCCUGAAUACAUUAGCAUGGAAUAAUAAAAUAGGACGGCAUGGUUCUAUUUUGUUGGUUUCUAGGAUCACCGUAAUGAUUAAUAGGGAUAGUUGGGGGCAUUAGUAUUCAAUUGUCAGAGGUGAAAUUCUUGGAUUUAUUGAAGACUAACUUCUGCGAAAGCAUUUGCCAAGGAUGUUUUCAUUAAUCAAGAACGAAAGUUAGGGGAUCGAAGACGAUCAGAUACCGUCGU